CCUACGGGAGGCAGCAGUAGGGAAUUUUCCGCAAUGGGCGAAAGCCUGACGGAGCAAUACCGCGUGAGGGAUGACUGCCUAUGGGUUGUAAACCUCUUUUUUCAGGGAGGAAUAAAUGACGUGUACCUGAAGAAUAAGCAUCGGCUAACUCCGUGCCAGCAGCCGCGGUAAGACGGAGGAUGCAAGUGUUAUCCGGAAUCACUGGGCGUAAAGCGUCUGUAGGUGGCUCGACAAGUCAACUGUUAAAUCUUGAAGCUCAACUUCAAAAUCGCAGUCGAAACUAUCGGACUAGAGUAUAGUAGAGGUAAAGGGAAUUUCCAGUGGAGCGGUGAAAUGCGUAGAGAUUGGAAAGAACACCGAUGGCGAAGGCACUUUACUGGGCUAUUACUGACACUCAGAGACGAAAGCUAGGGUAGCAAAUGGGAUUAGAUACCCCAGUAGUCCUAGCCGUAAACAAUGGAUACUAGGUGUUGAACAGAUCGACCUGUGCAGUACCAAAGCUAACGCGUUAAGUACCCCGCCUGGGAAGUAUGCACGCAGUAGUAGAACUACAAUAGAAGUAGACGGCGUGAGACGUCGCCGAACGACGACGACGAGGGAGGUAGG
rnacentral:rRNA from 1 species